rnacentral:rRNA from 1 species
UACAGAGGUCUCAAGCGUUGUUCGGAUUCAUUGGGCGUAAAGGGGUGCGUAGCGGCGCGGUAAGUCGGGUGUGAAAUCUCGGAGCUUAACUCCGAAACUGCAUUCGAUACUGCCGUGCUUGAGGACUGGAGAGGAGACUGGAAUUUACGGUGUAGCGGUGAAAUGCGUAGAUAUCGUAAGGAAGACCAGUGGCGAAGGCGGGUCUCUGGA